GGGUUGUGAGGUUAAGUGACUAAGCGUACACGGUGGAUGCCCUGGCAGUCAGAGGCGAUGAAGGACGUGCUAAUCUGCGAAAAGCGUCGGUAAGGUGAUAUGAACCGUUAUAACCGGCGAUGUCCGAAUGGGGAAACCCAGUGCAAUUCGUUGCACUAUCGUUAACUGAAUACAUAGGUUAACGAGGCGAACCGGGGGAACUGAAACAUCUAAGUACCCCGAGGAAAAGAAAUCAACCGAGAUUCCCCCAGUAGCGGCGAGCGAACGGGGAGCAGCCCAGAGUCUGAAUCAGCUUGUGUGUUAGUGGAACGGUCUGGAAAGUCCGACGGUACAGGGUGAUAGUCCCGUACACCAAAAUGCACAGGCUGUGAACUCGAAGAGUAGGGCGGGACACGUGGUAUCCUGUCUGAAUAUGGGGGGACCAUCCUCCAAGGCUAAAUACUCCUGACUGACCGAUAGUGAACCAGUACCGUGAGGGAAAGGCGAAAAGAACCCCGGCGAGGGGAGUGAAAAAGAACCUGAAACCGUGUACGUACAAGCAGUGGGAGCACCUUCGGGUGUGACUGCGUACCUUUUGUAUAAUGGGUCAGCGACUUAUAUUCUGUAGCAAGGUUAACCGUAUAGGGGAGCCGCAGGGAAACCGAGUCUUAACUGGGCGUUAAGUUGCAGGGUAUAGACCCGAAACCCGGUGAUCUAGCCAUGGGCAGGUUGAAGGUUGGGUAACACUAACUGGAGGACCGAACCGACUAAUGUUGAAAAAUUAGCGGAUGACUUGUGGCUGGGGGUGAAAGGCCAAUCAAACCGGGAGAUAGCUGGUUCUCCCCGAAAGCUAUUUAGGUAGCGCCUCGUGAAUUCAUCUUCGGGGGUAGAGCACUGUUUCGGCUAGGGGGUCAUCCCGACUUACCAACCCGAUGCAAACUACGAAUACCGAAGAAUGUUAUCACGGGAGACACACGGCGGGUGCUAACGUCCGUCGUGAAGAGGGAAACAACCCAGACCGCCAGCUAAGGUCCCAAAGUCAUGGUUAAGUGGGAAACGAUGUGGGAAGGCACAGACAGCCAGGAUGUUGGCUUAGAAGCAGCCAUCAUUUAAAGAAAGCGUAAUAGCUCACUGGUCGAGUCGGCCUGCGCGGAAGAUGUAACGGGGCUAAACCAUGCACCGAAGCUGCGGCAGCGACACUAUGUGUUGUUGGGUAGGGGAGCGUUCUGUAAGCCUGCGAAGGUGUGCUGUGAGGCAUGCUGGAGGUAUCAGAAGUGCGAAUGCUGACAUAAGUAACGAUAAAGCGGGUGAAAAGCCCGCUCGCCGGAAGACCAAGGGUUCCUGUCCAACGUUAAUCGGGGCAGGGUGAGUCGACCCCUAAGGCGAGGCCGAAAGGCGUAGUCGAUGGGAAACAGGUUAAUAUUCCUGUACUUGGUGUUACUGCGAAGGGGGGACGGAGAAGGCUAUGUUAGCCGGGCGACGGUUGUCCCGGUUUAAGCAUGUAGGCUGGUUGUCCAGGCAAAUCCGGAUAAUCAAGGCUGAGGUGUGAUGACGAGGUACUACGGUGCUGAAGUAACAAAUGCCCUGCUUCCAGGAAAAGCCUCUAAGCAUCAGGUAACAUUAAAUCGUACCCCAAACCGACACAGGUGGUCAGGUAGAGAAUACCAAGGCGCUUGAGAGAACUCGGGUGAAGGAACUAGGCAAAAUGGUGCCGUAACUUCGGGAGAAGGCACGCUGGUGUGUAGGUGAAGUCCCUGCGGAUGGAGCUGAGACCAGUCGAAGAUACCAGCUGGCUGCAACUGUUUAUUAAAAACACAGCACUGUGCAAACACGAAAGUGGACGUAUACGGUGUGACGCCUGCCCGGUGCCGGAAGGUUAAUUGAUGGGGUUAUCCGUAAGGAGAAGCUCUUGAUCGAAGCCCCGGUAAACGGCGGCCGUAACUAUAACGGUCCUAAGGUAGCGAAAUUCCUUGUCGGGUAAGUUCCGACCUGCACGAAUGGCGUAAUGAUGGCCAGGCUGUCUCCACCCGAGACUCAGUGAAAUUGAACUCGCUGUGAAGAUGCAGUGUACCCGCGGCAAGACGGAAAGACCCCGUGAACCUUUACUAUAGCUUGACACUGAACAUUGAGCCUUGAUGUGUAGGAUAGGUGGGAGGCUUUGAAGCGUGGACGCCAGUCUGCGUGGAGCCAACCUUGAAAUACCACCCUUUAAUGUUUGAUGUUCUAACGUUGGCCCCUGACCGGGGUUGCGGACAGUGUCUGGUGGGUAGUUUGACUGGGGCGGUCUCCUCCCAAAGCGUAACGGAGGAGCACGAAGGUUAGCUAAUCCUGGUCGGACAUCAGGAGGUUAGUGCAAUGGCAUAAGCUAGCUUGACUGCGAGCGUGACGGCGCGAGCAGGUGCGAAAGCAGGUCAUAGUGAUCCGGUGGUUCUGAAUGGAAGGGCCAUCGCUCAACGGAUAAAAGGUACUCCGGGGAUAACAGGCUGAUACCGCCCAAGAGUUCAUAUCGACGGCGGUGUUUGGCACCUCGAUGUCGGCUCAUCACAUCCUGGGGCUGAAGUAGGUCCCAAGGGUAUGGCUGUUCGCCAUUUAAAGUGGUACGCGAGCUGGGUUUAGAACGUCGUGAGACAGUUCGGUCCCUAUCUGCCGUGGGCGCUGGAGAAUUGAGGGGGGCUGCUCCUAGUACGAGAGGACCGGAGUGGACGCAUCACUGGUGUUCGGGUUGUCAUGCCAAUGGCACUGCCCGGUAGCUAAAUGCGGAAGAGAUAAGUGCUGAAAGCAUCUAAGCACGAAACUUGCCCCGAGAUGAGUUCUCCCUGAGACUUUAAGUCUCCUGAAGGAACGUUGAAGACGACGACGUUGAUAGGCCGGGUGUGUAAGCGCAGCGAUGCGUUGAGCUAACCGGUACUAAUGAACCGUGAGGCUUAACCUUACAACGCCGAAG
rnacentral:rRNA from 1 species